UACGAAGGGGGCUAGCGUUGCUCGGAAUCACUGGGCGUAAAGCGCACGUAGGCGGUCUUUUAAGUCAGGGGUGAAAUCCUGGAGCUCAACUCCAGAACUGCCUUUGAUACUGGGAGACUUGAGUCCGGGAGAGGUGAGUGGAACUGCGAGUGUAGAGGUGAAAUUCGUAGAUAUUCGCAAGAACACCAGUGGCGAAGGCGGCUCACUGGCCCGGUACUGACGCUGAGGUGCGAAAGCGUGGGAGCAAACAGGG
rnacentral:rRNA from 1 species